rnacentral:rRNA from 1 species
AGAGUUUGAUUAUGGCUCAGGACGAACGCUGGCGGCGUGCUUAACACAUGCAAGUCGAACGGGGAUAAGUUGGAAAGGCUUCGGCCCGGAAGACAUAAUUCGAGUGGCGGACGGGUGAGUAACGCGUGAGCAACCUGUCCCAGACAGGGGGAUAACACUUGGAAACAGGUGCUAAUACCGCAUAAGACCACGGGGUCACAUGGCCCAGGGGUAAAAGGAGCAAUCCGGUUUGGGGUGGGCUCGCGUCCGAUUAGAUAGUUGGUGAGGUAACGGCCCACCAAGUCAACGAUCGGUAGCCGACCUGAGAGGGUGAUCGGCCACAUUGGAACUGAGAGACGGUCCAAACUCCUACGGGAGGCAGCAGUGGGGAAUAUUGGGCAAUGGGCGAAAGCCUGAACCCCAGCAACGCCGCGUGAGUGAAGAAGGCCUUCGGGUUGUAAAGCUCUGUUAUGUGGGACGAAGGAAGUGACGGUACCACAUAAGGAAGCCCCGGCUAACUACGUGCCAGCAGCUGC